rnacentral:rRNA from 1 species
CUCGUAGGUGGCCAACUAAGUCAGACGUGAAAUCCCUCGGCUUAACCGGGGAACUGCGUCUGAUACUGGAUGGCUUGAGAUUGGGAGAGGGAUGCAGAAUUCCAGGUGUAGCGGUGAAAUGCGUAGAUAUCUGGAGGAAUACCGGUGGCGAAGGCGGCAUCCUGGACCGACAUUGACGCUGAAAACCGAAAGCUAGGGGAGACAAACG